rnacentral:lncRNA from 1 species
AGCAAUCUGACUGAGCGUGUUCAAUAAGUUGAUUGAUCCCAUUUGAGGAAGUAUCUCCAUUGAGGUAAUUUUGGGGAUUAGGACUAGAACCAUAUCACUAAAGUUUGGUCAAAUAACUCCAUUAAAAGAAUCACCUAUUACUAUGCGUACAUCAUUUUUUAGAAAUAACUAGUGAAAUUGGUAAACAUAAGUGAGAGGUUGUCUAGCCCCUGCGCUCUUGCCAGUCAAAUUUAGAAUAGUGCAUUCUCAAUUUCUUCAUCCAUCACGUCCGUGUUCACCCUCUCCUCCAUAUCACUAGUCACACAGGGUCGGAUGUGAGCUAAGAUGUUGUCAGCAUCAACAGAGGCUUCUGAAGAAAACAACUAAGCAUAGAAAUCGGCCGAAAUCUUCCCCAUCUCAUUGUCAAUAGUACAACUCGUGCCAUCCGCCCUCAUGUUUUGAUCGUCUUCCUUGAGAAAUUCCAGUUGGGAACAUUGCAUACACAUUAUUUGUUCCUGUGCACGAACCACAUGAAGCUACGCUUCAAUCUCGCUGGUCUUCAGCAAGGAUGUCUGGAUCCCAAUGCGCUACCCUUUCCAUCGAAGCUGGACCUUGUGCCUAGUAAUCUCACAACAUACAAGACAAAAUAUAGAGCCACUUCAAUGUUUCAUAUCAUUGGUGACAUUGUUACGCUUCCUGUAGAGCUCACUCUGGCCGAAAUUGUUAUCACAUGCACACUAUCAUGCCUACAUGGGCAUCCACCUCUCCUCAAACGUUAAUGCCCUCUUCUUACUUUUGGUAAUGACUAGGUUUUCUAGCGAUCUAUUAACGAGCAAACCAUUGUCUGGUCCUCCAUGACAACAUGUUCAAUGGGUGUAUCCUACAAUGAAUGCACGAAUUCAUCAUUGCAUGGACCCCUGUCCACAUGUACAUAAACGAUCUCAUCCCGCUCCCUCUUAUUGUCCCAAGUGUACAUGUUGCUACUAAAACAAAGUUUUGAAACACUAUUAUUGGCUACACUCUCCCUAAUGCGCUCCAUUUGUGUGAAACUCCUCAAGUAAUCUCCUAGUUGUUGUGAUUAAAAGAAUUCUUUGUUGAGGUAUCAUUGUAACAGAUAAAUGUAUUAUUAGGAUCCAAUCUCUCGGAGCCUCCCUUAGCUACACAAAUUUUCAUCAAUCUCUCUUCCUAUCCAGUAGCUUUAGGUGAUAAUCAUUGUGACGCCUUUGGUGGUCACCUUCACGUUGCCUUGUCUUAUGAACAAAAGUGCCUCGUCUGCGUUGCUCUGAGGUAGAUGGGUCAUCUUUCCCAAUGGCCUUGCACCCUUUCCCAUAUAGAUUUUUUUAUGUCUUGCUUACUUUCAUGCUCCUUCCUCAGGUCCCACUUACUUUUUAGAUUUAAAUCAUCCCUUAGUUCACAAUCAUGUCACAUUUCUUGCCUGAAUUGGUCCUCCCUACACUUCAUCUUAGGCAGUUACCAUGUACAAGACCAUCUCGAGGAUCCUCGCUAGAGAGAGAGUCCACAGAGGGUGUAUAAUCAGUGUAUGACCUGCACGUAAAUGGACGGGCAUGCAACGCUACAUGACCCCUGCGCCAUAGACGCCCUUGCUUGACCUAGUGCUCCCAAAACUAAAGUUCCUGCUUUCUUUCACCGGCCUCUACUUAGUUUUUGUCUAUGAGGAGCCAUGUCCAAGUGAUGCCCUUAACCAUUCACCCAACUGGGGUGAGGAAUCAUUUUGUGGUUCAAAUCAUCUGUCAACAUGUGCUAGUCUGUCGUAGUCAAUCCAAAAGAGAGGUAUCUUCUCAAAUUGAAAAUCAAACAAGGUCCCCUCAUCUUUUGCUGAAGAGUGGAGAAAGAAGCCUUAGACUAGUGAAAGAAAUCUAUCUCUAAAUCUGAGAUGGUUCCCCCAUAAAUCCAUCGUUCUUAACAUCACUCUUUACCACGCCACCAAGACAAUUCCCAAGAGCAUUCCCAAAAGUAUAUGAUCAUUUAUAUAGGGGAGGAUCUGUAAUUAUCACCCAUGGCUCCGUCAUACAAAACAUUAUCUUCGAUGACCUGGUUUUUUCAUCAUAAUCCUUCAAAACUAUCACAUUAAAACCAAAUUGCCACAUUCAAUUAUAUAGAGCGUGCUUCUAGACUCCUUUGUUAUGGAAUCUAAAGAAGAAGAUACUAUUUCUAAUGUGACUUACUUGGACUUCCUAAUAGUGUCACAUGUAUGUUGCGUAGCCCUAGCAAACACGUUGAUGUUGAUUUGCUGGAGUGAGCAUGCCUUUCCAACCACUGACCACCGAGUAGGCCUCGGUCGGUCUGGAAUCCUGAUUCUCAAGCAUGAGAUCUAUUAGUUCCUUUUGUUGUUAACUUCAGGGCUCCUUGUUAAUUUGGUUGAGAGAUUAGCUGCCUCCCCUGAAGCAUUUCCAUCUGUCAGGGACUUUGAAGGUUCUCAUCUUAAUGAUCCUUGGUCGCCCUGUUCACUUGAGCUGUCGAUUUACGCCACGCCUUCUCUCCCAUAGUCGCGCAAAGGAGUGGAAGCACCAAGACCAAUCAAUGUAGGAGUAUAGAGUGUCAUCACCUCAUAGAUGAAUAGAAACCUAACCCUAGCACUACUUGUCGGUCGCCUAUAAUUGCCCUUAGCAUUUCUUUUCAUGUUGGGCCCGCCAUAAGGUAUUUAUACGUUCGCUUCCAUUGGUACUUUUUUUUGCACUGGAGCCUUUCUGCUACAUUUGCCUUUCUACGAAGGAUGUCUUAUCCAAAUCAUAUAGUCUCCUCUAUCUAUAGGAAGCGAGGACAUUAGCUCUUCUUUUUUUCAAGGCAAAUACACUUGCUAGUGUUCAAGCGACAUCGAAAGAAGUCUUGUCACAUGUGAAGACGACGCUAAGAGUGUGACACAUAUAGGUGCCAACUUGAAGAAUAAUGCAAAUUUCAGUAAAUAUGAAUAGCUCCUGGGGGAACGAGCGCAUAAAGGAAUCAGCCACCAUAAAUGGAUCAUUUCCAAAGAAACAAAGUCACAAAGAGAGAGACAAGACAUUAGCUUCUUUAUGGGGAACACAUAUAUUUAAAUGUUGCCUUGCUCUCUGAUUAUUAACAAGAAAUAAUUUUUACUAAUAUAUUAUGUGUAAAUCUUGAUAGAUAUGGAAUGUAUUUUGGUCAGUAUGUUUUAAGGAAUCAUAUUAGUUUUUGGUAUGUAGAAAUUAAAAGAAGUUCAUGUGCCUUCAAGGCAUGUCAAGGUGUGUUGUUCCACCUCAAAAUUGGUUCAGACUAAAUGGUUAUUCUCCCUACAUAUAGCCCCAAUUCUCAUGCUCUCUCUCUCUCUCUAUUUUAUAUUCCAGACUACUCCAUAAAGCCUAACUGGUGAAGGUCCAGAAACACCCAGCAGUGACGGGUUCAACUCCCAUUAGUAGUCGAUACUUAGUGGAGGAGAAACAAGCCACUUACAGGCACGAGCCCGCCAAUGGUGAAUAAAUCAGAAAAGAAAAUCAGGCCAUGGCCAGUCCAAAUCCAGCAUCUGCCAACAAUGUGUAGUCUCCACUACUCGAACCUACUUUUCCUCAGUGCGUGACAUCAUGUGAUGUUUGGAGAAUCCAUAGAGUUGGGGAUCCGAAUAUAAAAAACAACAAUGGGGAGUGUCUUGAAGAAUAGGAGCCAAGAAGCCGGACGGAGAAGGCCUCCACCAUACUGCACCAUUGGCCAAUACUGACCCGUAUGGUGCAAGGACAAAGGCAGAACUGAACACCGUCAUCAUCUAGGUUGCAAAGGAAGUUGGACCACUGUGUUGCUUCUCUCGAACAAACUCAAUGAUUUCAUGCAGUUGGCACCCAUGCCACAUUCCAUAGAGAUAACAACAUUGAGGAGGAGGAGGGACAACGCAAGGUUUCUUCCUCAUAGGAAUUAGUUUCGAGGAAGUGGGGGGACGAUAUGGCAUGAUGAGCAGUUAACAAGGGAAGUUUGCAUGACUGUGGAGGACAAAGCAUUAAGACAAGUGUGCUAGUAGCUAGAUAAGGGAUGAAUGAUAGCAGGAAGGAAUAAUGAGCUUACUGGGUGAGGCUACUAUUUUUUAAGUUGCGACCUACUGAUCAUAACAACAAUUGAUCGUAACAACAUACCAUUGAUGAUUUAGGGUAUUGAUUUAGUAACUGUUAGGAUGUGACUACGGCUUGUAAGUGGUGGGUUGUAUAUUACUAACAAGUAGCAUGUUUAGCCUCAAUAUUGUCCUCUGUCACUCGUAACAACGUGCCAUUGACGGACCACAUAUUGGGCCCGUCACUACUACCUUUUUCAAACAAAAAUAGAAUUUUAGUUAUAGUCAGAUUCACAACAAUCCCGCCGGUCAUUAGUGUUAAGUAGCAUUGCUGACCGGUUUUUUGAACCACCACUUUUGAUCGAUAACUAGGCGAGAACUCUAGUGUAGUGCACAUUUGUUUGGUUCAGAAUUUUUAGUGUUUUUAUGUGCACAAAGACAUAUCGUUCAACCCUAACAUGUUCUCUUUAGGUGGGGUCGAGAGUGAAGGACUGGGGAGCUUGGAAGCAGGGGAAAUGGCACCUCGAGGGGUUCAGGUCUCCAUGAUCAAUAACCACAAUUUUGAUCUGAAUGAGCUGCCGACUGAGCAUGAGUAGCUCAAGAAGGAGUAGUCACCCGUGGAGCAAGAGUAGCCCCCUAUGGCACAACAUGAGCUUUAAUAUUCACAAUGGUUGGAGGCUACUCAAAUCCCGCUUGUGUGAGCAAAAAUAACUCUUGGCCCAAAGUAUAGCCCUGUCAGAAAUUAUCGAAACAAUAUCCUUAUCCCAAGGACGAUUGUAAAGCUUAUGUGGAACUUUUCAAUUUCUUGCUUCCUAUUUUUUGGUGAUUGACUGACGCUAUUGCUAAACUUGAGGGAAGGACUUGGUAUACUGCCUCAUGAUCAACGUGUCACCUGGAAUGGCUUUUCUAUUCAUUUCCCAUGAUGGUUUUGAUAUGUAGAUUGUUUGAACAAGCAUUUAUUCAUUCGGUAAAGCUUUGUGAAACAUCAACGGUGGAGCUAGGUCUCUCGUCAUGUGAAAUGAUAGUAGGUCAAGAAGUGUGUUGGAUCAUGAGAUAACAUAUUUUCUAAGUUGUUAAUCAUGUGUGUUAACACCAUGGGUAGUAUGAGAGAAGGUCAACAUGCAUGUUUGGGUCUGAAAUGACCUCAUGACCAAAAAGGGAGAGAAACAUGGCUAAUAGGAAUACGAACAAUAUGGAAGUUACUUGUUGCAUGGAUGUUAACUGUGGUUAUGAAACCACACAAGAUGUCAGAGGACCCGCAUCCUUACAUAUCAAGGUUGACUUCACAUGCCAACUGGAUUUCGACUAAAUUAUUGUAUAUGUAUGUAUGUUAUAUCUUGACAUCUUACCAAACAAAAAACACCAAAAAAUACACUAUUUACUUCUCUUUGAUGCAUAUUCUAGUUGGAGGGUAAUCAUAACCUUAUGUGGAUAUUUUUCCAUAAUAGAAUAUAUAAUGGUCUAGUGAGGCAAGGUGUAAAUGGAGAGGACAAUAGUCGAACAUGAAAACAUCCAACAUUGUGUUAUAGUUGCAUCAAGUUGUCUAGUGAGUCAAUAUGGAAAUGGAGGAGGCUCAUAGGGCAACACGAGAACACCCAACAUGUUGCUCUACUUACUUCCUAUUGGUACGAAGAGACCGAGAGUAGUGAAAGGUUAAUCAUAACACAUGGACAAGAUAUCUCAUACAAGAUGAAAAUGGAGUGAGUCUUGUAUGAAAAUGCUAACAAAGUAUGAGUGUGCAUAGCAUGCCAUCCCCUCCCUUUCUUGUUCGAGUUUCCUUCACCAACCCCAUAGUACCCUGAUCAACACUAUUAUUUGGAUAUGCUUCUCAUCUGAGAAAGAAUAGUUAUUGAGAGACAUUUAUAUCAUUGUCUAGAUAGACUUGUUCAAGGGCCAAUAAUGGAGGUGUCUUAUCUAUUAUAGCCACAUUCCGGAGAAGAAUAAAAAAAGUAGACACAACCUGAUAAUUUAUUGAGAUUUGAAUUGAGGAUCCACAUACAUCAACUAUCCUACAUGUGAAUCAAAUCCACAUCCUACAUGGGCAUUGGGCUUUAGUUGGACUACCACUUUAUGGACAAGCCAUGUGCUCCAUGUAGUCUAUGUUGCAAAGGCGGGAGGACAAGGAGCAAAUAGUUUUUGAUGGCUGGACAUUGAAGUUAUUUGUCAAGAAAUUUGUUUCCUGACAUGGUUUGUUUAUUUCAUUAUUUAGUAUUUGAUAUCGGUUCAAUGCUCUAGUAUGUAACAUUCUUCUCACAUUUUGGGUCUAGCUCUUGGUGUUCAUGAGUUCAUUACUUAUGUUAACUAUUAUUGUUGUGCCCACUUGUUCGACAAGAGACUAUAAAGUUAACUAAGAUACUCUCGUAUUUAUAUUAAUAUAGUUGGCACUGAGCUAAUAAUAAACCUUGAAUACUACUCAUAUUUGUCAAAUAGGAGGUCAAGCUGGAUCUGUCUGGCGCAUCAUCUAUGGUCACAUGGUGUAUUGUCUAUUCUAAACCCAAUGAGUAUUGCAGAAUGACAUGUUCCUGCGAGGAGGAAUGAGUCACUCUUUUGUGUCAAGGGGUGAUGCCAUGCCUCAUAAUUGACAAUAAAAAAUUAACCACCUACAUCAAAAGUCUAACCCAAGUCAGGGAAUAGGCGCCAUUGCAAUUUUACCGCACAAAGUCAUCGGUAUUUUGCAAUUGAAUGUUCCCCAUGUUGUGACUGAGAACACAAAACACAAAACACCCCACAAAACACUAUUCACUUCUCUUCGAUGCAUAUUAUAGUGGAAGGGUAGUCAUAACCAUAUGGGAAUAUUUUACCACAAUAGAAUCUAUAAUGGUCUAGUGAGGCAAGGUUUAAAUGGAGAGGAUAAUAGGCGAACAUGGAAACAACCAACACUGUGUUUUACUUGCAUCUAGUUGUAUAGUGAGAUAAUAUUGAAACGGAGGAGGCUUAUAGGGCAACAUGAGAACACCCAAUAUGUUGCUCUACUUACUUCCUAUUGUUACCAAGGGACUGAGGCUCGGGCAUGGUUAAUCAUAACACAUGGAGAAGAUCUCUCAUACUAGUUGAUAAUAGAAUGAAUCUUGUAUGAAAAUGCUAACAAAGUAUGAGUGUGCAUAACAUGCCAUCUCCUCCCUUUCUUGUUGUAUUUUCCUUCACCAACCCCCAUAGUACCCUGAUCAACACUAUUAAUUUGAUAUGCUUCACAUCUGAGUUAGAAUUGUGAUUGGGAAUAGUUGUAUCAUUAUCUAAGUAGACUUCUUCAAGGGGAAAUAAUGGACGUGUCUUAUCUAUUAUAGCCACAUUCCGGAUAGGAAUAAAAAAGUAGACAUAACAAGAUAAUUUGUUGAGAUUUGAAUCGAAAAUACAACAUACAUCAACUAUUCUACAUGUAAAUCAAAUCCUCAUCCUACAUCGGCAUUCGGCUUUAGUUCGACUACCACUUUAUGGACAAGCCGUGUGGUCCAUGUGGUCUACGUCACAAAGGCCAGACGACAAGGAGAAAAUAGUUGUCGAUGAUUGAUCACCGAACGAAAUAGCAGCGAGAAGCUAACUCCAGGAAGCUAGGAUCGACCGCAGCACAAAAUCAUGAAGCAGACUCGGCCCAGCUCCACCAAUCCGAAAAGCUGAAGUUGGCCGAUAUUACAAGUAAACUGCCACAGCCAAUUCAUACGAGUCGAACCGGUACGCUCGAUCUGUUUGAUCUCUCCUCGUUCCCUCGCUCGUGCUCCCUCGCUGCUCCUCUAUAAGGCCGAUUUGGGUUGCCUCCAGUCAGCCCAACUAGCUCGAACAGGCCACAACCCUUCUAGCUAGGUUGCAGUGCCGCGAGAAGCUGCAAACCGAGCCAAACGGAUUUUUCAUCGCUGCUUGGAGUGAGAAGCUACUCUGAAAAGGUGAAUUUCUGAAGUUUUGGGAAGCUAGAGGAGAUCAGAAAAGGCCCUAAGUCAUCGGUAUUUCAUAAUUGAAUGUUCUCCAUGUCGUGACUUCUGAUGGUGUAAACCCAAAUAAUUGCCAUUGUGAAAUUAAGUUCCUUUCGUGAGUCAGAACCCACAUCCGUAAAGAUGUGCCACUACAAUCCACCUCAUGGCUAUCUUGGAGUCCUUAAUAUAAUCAAGUGUGCCCAAUAUGGUGACUUAAUAUGUACUUAUUGACCCUACGAAGCUAAUCGCCUCCAUCAAGACCCCUUCCUGGUUCUCCUUUAACUAGAUUCCUCGAAACCACAAGAAUCCUUACAAUGGGAUUACAACUUAGCACCUUUCGUUUUCACAUAGUAAGAAGAGUUGCUCCUUGGAUAGCACGGUACGAUCAAAGGUGUAACCUGUGUUUUGGAGCGAGUUAUUGUCUCGAAACUUUGUUCUCAACUAUUCCGAUUCCAGCAAACGGAGGCCAUUGGGUCAAAGCUGUAGCGCACGCCCUGUAGUUUUCAAGUGGGGCGAGACAACUUAGCUAGGAACCUAUUUUCAUUCUGACCAGCUCCCUGAAAACAAUGUUCGACUUCAUGUGUAGUCGGUGUAGAUGUGUCAUUGCAAUUCCACCACUAGGAUAUCACCAAGUCCUAUGUAUUACAUGUCAACAUAUGCCACCAUAUGGUUACUUGACAAAUUAAAUGGAUUUCACCAAGAUUUCAUGUUACAAUUAUAGUGAAGAUAGUGACUCACAUGUCAGCCUCCCUGACGGGAAGCAAAAUCACUCUGACUUUGGCAACCUAAUUCUUGGCGGGUUCAAGCAAACAUGUUGGAUUUGUAUUUUAUUUAUUUCAACAUAUAUAAUUCAUAUAAAUAAAUCAAUUCAUAAUAGGAGUCUUGGAGACACCCAUGUCAAUAAUGUGAAAUUAUGGGAAAUCUUAUUAUGUGCAUCAACAUAAGCCAAAACUCGUGGCUUAAGAGAUAUGUUUACAAUCUUCCAAUGGUUAUUCCCCCUACUGAAUUCAUGAUGUUAACUAGUUCCCAUAAGUUGAGAAAGAAGUUUAGUCAUGGGAUCAAUGUCCAGUGCAUCAUAUUUCCAGUUCCCAAAAAAAUUUAUUAUGGAAGUUGAGAAAGAGGUUUGGGCAACAUAUUUCCAGACACCUGUCAUGUCUAGGAUCUUCUCAAGCCUAGGUAAGCUUAGUCACGGGAUCAAUGCAGGCUAUUAGUACAUUGACCCGGUUCUUAAUUCAAGUCCUCCUUGCUUGAUACAAUAUUGAAUGGAAAGUACAUAAUCAAUUUAUUUAAGUGGGUGAACAAUGUUGGCUAGUAUAUUUCAACACUCACCUCACAUGCAUCUUUUAGAGGCAUAUAAUGCAUCAUGAUGGAAACAUUUUUUCUAUAGACUAAAUUCCAAUGAAAAAUUUAAUUAAUUUAAUUAGUAGCAAUCUCGUAAUGUAAGGAUAUAUGGCAAAUGAAAAUGAGGGCUCAAAUGCUACUUGUUGGCACACAAAAGUCAUGUUGUCUUUUUCCUCCCAUGUUGAUCCUUCGUGGUUUGACAUUGGGCAUUACAAAGAGAACAAGUUAUCUUUACACACCUCUAGAGCUACCAGACCCUGGAUGUUCCACCAUGAAUGUCCAUAUGGUGCAAUGAGUGAUAGCGAGCUAUAUUAGAACAUAUAGUUUACACCGUUAAAGUAAUUAAAUGGGCUAUUUUGGCUACUAUGAAAAAUAGUAUUUUAAGAGAAAACUAUGUAAGAGUUUGUGAUCUUUGUAUGUAAAAGCAUUAUUUGCCUUUGCUUGGUGUUCACGCAGUUUGAUUUAUGGUAAAAAUGUAAAAUCAUGGGACAAUAAUUGUUGAUAUUCUUUGCGGAGAAAGCGAGAUCUUUCCACUUUUCAGAUCACACAAAGUACUGUUUUUCUUAUAGGGGUGAUAUACAGUGUUCUAAAUCUGCACUUGUGAUUCGUUGUCCAUUUAAAUUUAAAUGGUUUCUUCCACAGAUUAUGUUGGUUUGUUGUUGUAUUUAUCUCAGCACUAAAGUAUACUGAUGUUAGCUAAGUCCAAUCAAAGGCCCAUGUUUUUAUCAUGUUAUACAAAUUAGUAAGCUAAGAUCUUACCAAACUCAAGUUACAUAAGCCCAGACUACGUGAAAUACACAUCAUGCAGUACACAUGUUCAUCUUAGUGUUAUGUUAUACUUGGCUCCGAGAUAACAAAUGGUAUCAAUUAUUACUAUCUUUUGCAGCUUGUUUCUGCCUGUUCAUCGUAGAAUUAUCUUAUGUGGUCUCCCAAGGUUCAUGCAACUUGGAUUUUCAUACUUUGGUAGUAUUAGUGUUCACUAGGACUAGGUGCCACUCUGUAGAAGCUAAGGAUACAGAUGGAGAAAGUAGUCAUGGUUUUUUUUUCAAAAAGUUUGUUCAUAUCUAUAAGAGGUUUAUGAUUUUUCAGUGUAUACUGUUGUGAAACCUAGAGUGUUUUAUCUCAUUUGACAUUGAACUACGCUUUGAAGGAAAAACCUUCAUUUGACAUCGAACUAUGCAUGCAGGGCAAACACCCCGUGCUUCGGUGCCACCGCGCCGCGAACCCUGGGAGCUUGAACCUGGAUGGGUGUGAACUUAAGAUUGAUGUCAAUGUUAGGGGUCAGUCAUGGAUAGAGAAUAAAGGGGACUUUGCGAAACUGUUAUUAAUAAUAUCGAUGAAACAUUGCCUUGUGGAGAGAAUAAGAUAUUUCGAGAGAUAUUUAUAAAUGGAUGCAUACUUGCAAUAGCAGUACAAAAUAUGAUGCUAACAUUUUAUUUUCAUUGUUGUUCCCAUUAAACUUCUGGUGGUGGCUCCAUUAUUCACAGCCUC